CAGCAGCCACGGGAAUACGAAGGGUGCAAGCGUUAAUCGGAAUUACUGGGCGUAAAGCGUGCGUAGGCGGUGAGUUAAGUCUGCUGUGAAAUCCCCGGGCUCAACCUGGGAAUGGCAGUGGAUACUGGCUCGCUAGAGUGUGUCAGAGGAUGGUGGAAUUCCCGGUGUAGCGGUGAAAUGCGUAGAGAUCGGGAGGAACAUCAGUGGCGAAGGCGACUAUCUGGGCCAACACUGACACUGAGGCACGAAAGCGUGGGGAGCAAACAGGAUUAGAUACCCGAGUAGUCCCUGUCUCUUAUAA
rnacentral:rRNA from 1 species